GAUGAACGCUAGCUACAGGCUUAACACAUGCGAGUCCAGGGGCAUCACGAAUAAAGCUUGCUUUCUUUGCUGGCGACCGGCGCACGGGUGAGUAACACGUAUCCAACCUGCCCUUUACUCGGGGAUAGCCUUUCGAAAGAAAGAUUAAUACCCGAUAGCAUAAUGAUUCCGCAUGGUUUCAUUAUUAAAGGAUUCCGGUAAAGGAUGGGGAUGCGUUCCAUUAGGUUGUUGGUGAGGUAACGGCCCACCAAGCCUUCGGUGGAUAGGGGUUCUGAGAGGAAGGUCCCCCACAUUGGAACUGACACACGGUCCAAACUCCUACGGGAGGCAGCAAUGAGGAAUAUUGGUCAAUGGGCGCUAGCCUGAACCAGCCAAGUAGCGUGAAGGAUGAAGGCUCUAUGGGUCGUAAACUUCUUUUAUAUAAGAAUAAAGUGCACUAUGUAUACUGUUUUGUAUGUAUUAUAUGAAUAGGGAUCGGCUAACUCCGUGCCAGCAGCCGCGGUAAUACGGAGGAUCCGAGCGUUAUCCGGAUUUAUUGCGUUUAAAGGGAGCGUAGGUGGACUGGUAAGUCAGUUGUGAAAGUUUGCGGCUCAACCGUAAAAUUGCAGUUGAUACUGUCAGUCUUGAGUACAGUAGAGGUGGGCGGAAUUCGUGGUGUAGCGGUGAAAUGCUUAGAUAUCACGAAGAACUCCGAUUGCGAAGGCAGCUCACUGGACUGCAACUGACACUGAUGCUCGAAAGUGUGGGUAUCAAACAGGAUUAGAUACCCUGGUAGUCCACACAGUAAACGAUGAAUACUCGCUGUUUGCGAUAUACAGUAAGCGGCCAAGCGAAAGCAUUAAGUAUUCCACCUGGGGAGUACGCCGGCAACGGUGAAACUCAAAGGAAUUGACGGGGGCCCGCACAAGCGGAGGAACAUGUGGUUUAAUUCGAUGAUACGCGAGGAACCUUACCCGGGCUUAAAUUGCAGUGGAAUGAUGUGGAAACAUGUCAGUGAGCAAUCACCGCUGUGAAGGUGCUGCAUGGUUGUCGUCAGCUCGUGCCGUGAGGUGUCGGCUUAAGUGCCAUAACGAGCGCAACCCUUAUCUUCAGUUACUAACAGGUCAUGCUGAGGACUCUGGAGAGACUGCCGUCGUAAGAUGUGAGGAAGGUGGGGAUGACGUCAAAUCAGCACGGCCCUUACGUCCGGGGCUACACACGUGUUACAAUGGGGGGUACAGAAGGCAGCUAGCGGGUGACCGUAUGCUAAUCCCAAAAGCCUCUCUCAGUUCGGAUCGAAGUCUGCAACCCGACUUCGUGAAGCUGGAUUCGCUAGUAAUCGCGCAUCAGCCACGGCGCGGUGAAUACGUUCCCGGGCCUUGUACACACCGCCCGUCAAGCCAUGGGAGCCGGGGGUACCUGAAGUACGUAACCGCAAGGAUCGUCCUAGGGUAAAACU
rnacentral:rRNA from 1 species